CAGCGCAAGGGCGAUGAACCAGCAUCAGCAUCAGAGAUCCGGAGCAUCAGUGUUCAACCCACGCAGCUGGAUAACUGAAAUGAUGAAGCGUUGCGUUGAAUCUCAUCAGGUCCUUCUGGGUCAGAGACAUUUUGUGACAAAGUCAAGAUAACUGAAUCCAACAUCAGAAGGAAAAAUCUGUAAAGCGACAGAACAGGAAAGGAUGUACACAGUGAAUGGGAAAUUAUACUGUUCUGACAAUAUGAAUCCUGCAUCCUGCUGACUCAAACUGGGCACAAGAAUUACAUGGUUUGUUUGGAGGAGAGCAUACCCAAAGGGACUGUCUGAGUGAGUCGAUGAACAUGAGCAUUAAAGAGGAAAAGCGAGACGAUGGAUGGAUGAAAAGAUUGAUGGUUGCGUGGAAGAGCUCUAGGGCUUUUCUGAGAGGAGACGUUACUGUUACAUGAUCCAGCAAGAAGCACAUACAAAGGUAUUUCACUCAAAAAUGUCAUGAUACUCACUCUUAUGUUGCUUGAAACCUGUAUGUAUAGAAGUCUGUGGAAAACAAGAAUAUACUUUUUUGGCAAUUUAUAGUAACCAAAAACACAUUAAAGCACCAUGAAAGGAUUGUAAAAGUAGUCGAUUUGACUCAUGCACUGUGUUUCAAGUCUUCUAAAGCCAAAUUAUAACAUUAAGUCAUGAAAAUACGAAAAUUUAAGUCAUGAUUUACUGAUAAUCUUGGCCUUUCUGGUGACUAAAUGACGGAAUUAACUAAACGUUUCCUUCUUAACCGAUGAAUGUGUUAGAGUAUGAGUAAUUCUAGCAUUUACUGUUUUAAUUGGAUAUUAAAACAGUUAAAUAUGUAAAUGAUUCAGCUACACCCCUCACACACACAUGCACAAAAUGAAUAAUAAACUAUUUGAAUCAUACUUCUGUACAUAAUGUGCCGUCACUUCUGCAUUAGUCACCAUUACUUCAAACUGUCAUUUUUUUUAAUGGAGAAAAACUACAACUGAAGCACAGAGAGAGAGGGAGAUCUAUUCUUACACAAUGACUCAGCACAUCCAGUCUUACACACACACACACACACACACACACACACACACACACACACACACACACACACACACACACACACACACACUGACACUCUAUACUGUGCUUGUACAUUACAAUUUCUCUAUCCUACUAUGUAUGUUUUUGUUCAUCUCUUGGAAAGGUUUGGGUGUCAGGUUUGUGAGAAUUGCUCUAAAAGCUUUUCAGAGCAUUCGUAAUCGGUGCAUCUCUGUGUCAGUUGGUGCAAUUCACUACUGCAAAGAGAAGUAAUUGCGUAAAAGAUUUGUGAGAUAUGAAGUCACAACUGCACAAUAUAAAGAUGCAAUUAUUAGAUAUAAAGUCACAAUCACAAGAAAUAAAGUUGCAAUUACAAAAAAGUAACGUGACAAAGUUGCACUGUGAAGGAUUGCAUUAUUAUAAAAUGCUGAGAUCAAUUUAUUAUAAAGUCACAAUUAUGUGAAAUAAAGUUGCAAUAAAUUAAAAAAUUGCAGUUGCAAAAAAAUUUUGACAUUGUAAA